AUACUUGCGAAAGUCGCAAGCGCCGCCGCGCUUUUCGCGGCGACGUUGUCGGCUCCAGGUGAUCGAAAAGGUGGAAUUCUCGAAGGAAAGCCGGCUGCACCCGUCCGUGCACCGGAAAUCAGCCCUUCAGUGGC
rnacentral:sRNA from 1 species